UUUCGCUUCACACUCGUCUGGCAACAGAAAUCCACAGUAUCUGCUGCUAAAUCAAAUACCUCCUGCGUCUUCUUCACCGCCAAUCCUCCUCCAUAUCCUCUUCCUUCCAAUUAAGUUCACUAGAAAAGAUAAUACGCCGCGGUUUCGGGAGAGGCUCAAGAGGAUUUUGCAGUCGCCCUUUUUUGCGAUCUUGGUGAGAAUUAAGAAGUUGACGGGUCUCUCUUCGCUAUUUCGUUACUGGGGACAAGUCGUGGAUUGAAUAAUUCUCUGUUGUCAAUGAAACAAGUACUGUGCAGUAUUUCUUGGGGGGUAGAUGAGAAUCUGAGUUGAUAAGAUAAAAAAGAGGAGACUUGUGAAUUGAGAGAAAGCGAGGCAUAUAAUAAAAGAUGAGGUUGAUAAAUGUGGCGACUUGUAAUCUGAAUCAAUGGGCUAUGGAUUUUGAUUGCAAUAUGAAGAAUAUUAAGGAAUCUAUUUCUAAGGCUAAAGAAGUUGGAGCUGUAAUCAGGCUUGGCCCUGAGCUCGAAAUCACUGGCUAUGGCUGUGAGGACCAUUUCUUGGAAUUGGAUACCGUCACUCAUGCGUGGGAGUGCUUAGCAGAGCUCUUGCUUGGUGAUUGGACAGAUGGCAUAUU